UACGAAGGGGGCUAGCGUUGCUCGGAAUUACUGGGCGUAAAGCGCACGUAGGCGGUCUUUUAAGUCAGGGGUGAAAUCCUGGAGCUCAACUCCAGAACUGCCUUUGAUACUGAAGAUCUUGAGUUCGGGAGAGGUGAGUGGAACUGCGAGUGUAGAGGUGAAAUUUGUAGAUAUUCGCAAGAACACCAGUGGCGAAGGCGGCUCACUGGCCCGAUACUGACGCUGAGGCACGAAAGCGUGGGGAGCAAACAGG
rnacentral:rRNA from 1 species